CCCACAUGUUAUUCUUUUGGUCUACUUUCUUUCUAGAUGAUAAAGGGGAUACAAAAUUCACAUAGAGGGGGAGAUUCACACACACCACUAUUAUUCACCAAAAGGAGAAGCUCACUGGAACUCUCCAUUUUUUUUGGAACCACAAGAUAGCAACUACACAUCAACACACAAUUCUCUCAUCAAGAAACCACUACACACAAAACCAUUACCAUCAUCUUUCAUUUUCAUCUUCUACAGAAGAAUAGAAUCCACUCGCACCACACCUCACGGGAAUUCACCUCAGGGAGAAGAUAAUUCUCCAUUUUUCAUCAUCUCCAUUCACCCACUGAUUCAGCAAGAUAUUCAAACACGCACGCACACACUCCUUCAACCAUGGACUGAAAAUAGAGAAUCGGGAGAGAAAAGAUGUGAGGGAGAGAGAUAGCGAAAGCGAGAGAGUUUUUGAUGAAAUUUCUCACCGGAAUCGGUGUUCUCUUAUCAAAUCCGACCACCUGCAGACCCAAAAAUCCCUGAAUCCUUUUCGUCUCUUGUUCUCCGAUGACAUAUCACUGAAAUCUUCAAUCGAGGAACAUUGUCGACAUUGUUUGUUAUCAUUACGGCUAAAUUCGACCGAAAACACCAUCUCCGGCCAUAUCCCACCGUUGAGGUCAGUAGAAAACAAGAGAGGGAUACAUACCGUAGCUGAGAUUCACUGUUGAGGUUUGAUUCGAGGUUCAUCGGCGCCGACUCUAUCGGAUUUAAUCAAAAUAAUAUAUCGAAUUGAGAAAGCUUUAAAUCGAGGUCCAAUUCUACUCUUUCCUUCUUUUUAUCUCAUCAUUUAUUAUAUUAGGUGUGUUAGAUUGAAUAUCAUGUUUUUCUUGAUCUUUGUUGAUGAUGAAUAGUGAUUUGUUUUGAUUCAUGAUUGGUUCCCUUGAUUAUAGAUUGUACGGUGAAAUGGUAUCUCGUUUGACAAUUAAAAUUAAUUUGGGGGUGAGAAUUGAAAACUUGACAUAAUUGGUGAAUUUUGGUUAGUUUGAUUCAUUGGUUGUUUGACUCGAAAUGAACGUUAAUUGAACUUGGUAGUAUCAUGAUACGUCGAUUGGUUUAGACAAACAUAGGUUGGGUAGGCAAAGUUUAGAAUUUGUGGCUUUGGUUGAAUGUUGAAAAUUCCGUGGAAUAUUUGAAAUUUUAUUGAAUAGUUUUAUUUUUCGGCACUAAAAAUGUAUUCAUUUGGGGGGGAAUGCCUCGUGGGAUUUGUAUUAAUUUAUUCAGGGAAUGCCCCGAAGUAUCUUGUACUUGGAGGACGUUCGUGAUGAAGGCCCGAGGCAUCGGGUGAGACAUUAGAGCUUAGUCUAUGAUUAGUUUAGAAUAGGAUUUAUAUUUCCGUAAUUUUCUAUUUUGAGACUGUAUAACUCGGACUGAACACUAUAGUUUGGAUUCGUUUUGUUUUGUUUGUUUGUUUGAUUGUUUUACA